rnacentral:rRNA from 1 species
CACGUAUGGGGCAAGCGUUGUCCGGAAUCAUUGGGCGUAAAGAGCGUGUAGGCGGCCCGGUAAGUCCGCUGUGAAAGUCCAGGGCUCAACCCUGGGAUGCCGGUGGAUACUGUCGGGCUCGAGUCCGGAAGAGGAGUGUGGAAUUCCUGGUGUAGCGGUGAAAUGCGCAGAUAUCAGGAGGAACACCAAUGGCGAAGGCAGCACUCUGGGACGUGACUGACGCUGAGACGCGAAAGCGUGGGGAGCAAACAGG